AACGAACGCUGGCGGCAUGCCUAACACAUGCAAGUCGAACGAGACCUUCGUGUCUAGUGGCGCACGGGUGCGUAACGCGUGGGAACCUGCCCUUAGGUUCGGAAUAACUCCCCGAAAGGGGUGCUAAUACCGGAUAAUGUCUUCGGACCAAAGAUUUAUCGCCUUUGGAUGGGCCCGCGUUGGAUUAGCUAGUUGGUAGGGUAAAAGCCUACCAAGGCGACGAUCCAUAGCUGGUCUGAGAGGAUGAUCAGCCACACUGGGACUGAGACACGGCCCAGAAUACUACGGGAGGCAGCAGUGGGGAAUAUAGGACAAUGGGCGAAAGGCUGAUCCAGCAAGGCCGCGUGAGUGAUGAAGGCGUGAGGGUUGUAAAGCUCUUUUACCCGGGAUGAUAAUGACAGUACCGGGAGAAUAAGCACCGGCUAACUCCGUG
rnacentral:rRNA from 1 species